GUCUAUAUAAGGAGGGGAAGGAGCUUGGUUUAUAGCACAACCGAAACUCCACUUUGCAUUGAACGAUGGGGUCUCAAACGGGCUAUCUCUUUGCCACUCUUUUGGUAAUAUCAGUCUCUCUUAGCCACUUGCCAUUAGAAGCCUCCGCAAACAAUUACUACUACACAUCUCCUCCCCCACCAAAGAAAUAUCCACCACCACCACCUCCCCCUCCCCAGUACAAAUCUCCACCACCCCCGCCACCGGUUCACAAGUCUCCACCACCACCCCCAGAUUACAAGUCCCCUCUCGCCACCACCGCCUCACC
rnacentral:lncRNA from 1 species